CAUACAUAAUUAUGUAGGGUACCCUUUAUUGUUUUUGGUAAAUCUUAAAUGUAGAUCGGCAACUUUGCAAACCUUGAAAUAAAUAAUAAAUUAUAGUCUAGGUGUUGUAGUCUAAUAGAAAAAGCCAUUCUUGUCAUUGUGAUAGUCUACGGAGUCAAUGUCAUAGCCAUAGACAUUCACUUAACUUCACUUAAGGUCAUAGCGCAAAAGAAACGAAGAUAUCAGCAACGCUGAGGCUGAGGCAUAUUUAAGAUUUGUAGUAUACUGGCAGAUAUGGAAGAGGAUAACCUCGCCCAGAAGGACGCCGAAGACCGGGCAAAAUGAGGAAAGCGGACCCUGGCAACUAGACCGGGAAAAUGUUAAGAAGAAGAAGAAGUACACUAAAGUAACCAACUAACUUAUAAAACCAGAGUAGUAUACAGAUAAAAUGUCAGCAAAUUGUUUCGCCGUUUUAGACUAAAAUAAUCAUUCCAAUUAUUUUUUGUUUAAUCAUUACAAUCAGAAUACUCUAAAAGUCUUAAUUUAAUUAUUUUAGUUGAUAAUUAACGAAUUUGCGUAAUCUAUCAAUUUUCUAUCACGACGGUAACAGACAAACAAAACAACUUUUUUAAAUUGUUAAUGUUAGUACGUUUGGAUUUCAACAAAAAAAAAACCCAUAAUAUCCUGAGAGAGGUACCAAUCUCGGCAUUAUCUCGUGUUUUUAUAACGCUAACCACGCCACUAUAUUAAUUAGUCAUUAUCUACGAGCGACACAAAAUAUCAAUUUAAUUAUGUUUAAUAAUAAUUGAACGAGAAUGUCGACAGCUAAAGUAAAAAGGUAAAAGACUGAAAUUGUAUAUUUCGCUCAAAAACAAUUAAGUAUGUAUGUGAGUGUGUUAAUAUGAUGUCUCUUACGAUGCUUUAAUGUAUAGUAAUGUAAUUAAGUUAAAGUAUAGUAAAUUAUUAAUAUGAUAAUAGUGAUAGUAAUAGUAAUAAUAAAUAAUAAAUAAAGUGUAUGCCACAGUUAAUAACAAAAAAAACACUAUUUUAACACGUUUUCGUCAGUUAAGUAUGUAUGUAUGUAUGAUGUUUUUUUGUAUGUAACGGAAUUUAUGAAUGUCAUUGGCGGUAGUUCUUUUGACGUUCAACAAGUAUGUACUUUCAUUUAUGUUGAAUAAAAAAUUUUUGAUUUUGA